UACGGAGGGAGCUAGCGUUGUUCGGAUAUACUGGGCGUAAAGCGCGUGUAGGCGGAUGAGCAAGUCUGCUGUGAAAGCUCCUGGCUUAACCGGGAGUGGUCGGUGGAAACUGCUCGUCUGGAGGACGGUAGAGGUAGGUAGAAUUCCCGGUGUAGUGGUGAAAUGCGUAGAGAUCGGGAGGAAUACCUGUGGCGAAGGCGGCCUACUGGGCCGGACCUGACGCUGAGACGCGAAGGCGUGGGGAGCGAACGGG
rnacentral:rRNA from 1 species